rnacentral:rRNA from 1 species
AUGGCCGACCCGCCGCCCCCGGACGCGCACCCGGAGCAAUCCCCCGCCACCGAGAAGCCCCCCGCGGCGCCUCUGACGCCCGAACCCGAGGAUGCGGCGGAGCAGGAUGUCGAGUCGGAGGUGGAUGAGGAGUACGUGAGCGACCCCGACGACGCUCUCCCGGAGAUGCGUCGCCGGGAGGCCAGCGACGACGAGGGGUCCGAGGAAGGUAGGCGGCCUCCCAGGGCGCGGAUCGACCCCGACCACGACGACGACGGCCAAGGUGCCCCGGAGGAUUACGAGGGCGAAGUGGAGGAGGAGGAGGACGAGGACGAGGAAUACUACGAUGAUUUGUUGGAUGAUGAGGAGGUGGGCGAGGGGCUCGAGGAGGAGUAUGAUGGCCACGCUGUGCCGCCCAAGGAGGUCGCCGCCGGCCAGGGGGAGGCGGACGAGAAGCCUGGGGAGGAGGGAGCUGAGGCUGAGGCUGACGGCGAAGAGAAGAAGGAGCAGGAGCCAUUCGCGGUGCCCACCUCCGGCGCGUUUUACAUGCAUGACGACCGGUUUCAGGAGGACGGCCGGGGCCGACGCAGGCGAAUGCUUGGUGGGAGGAAGUUAUGGGAUGCUAAAGACGAUCAAGCAUGGGUGCAUGACAGAUUCGAGGAGAUGAACGUGCAUGAGGAGCGCUAUGAAGAUAAGCGAAUGUCAAGAGGCCGUUUUAGAGGUCGUGGUAGUGGAGGUAGGACUAGAGGCACUGCCCAUGGAUUUUCAAGAGGAGGGAGGUACCACAGUUAUCACGAAGAUAGCGACAACCAAAAUCAUAGUGAAAACCAGAACCGGCCCCAAAAGAUUGUCCGCGGGAGAGGACCCAGACGUUAUGACACAAUUGCAAAGAACAACCGAGAUGUUGUCGGGUUCCAACGUAAACAACCAACAAGAUCUCGCGAACUGGUCGCUCAUUCUGCAGCGGCCAGAGAGCCUGGCCAAAUUUCAAAUGCACAUUCGGAAGCAGUUCCUGCUAAAAAGAAUGUUGUCAAUUCAAGCUUAAAUUCUGCGUCACCACCAUUUUAUCCCUCUGGUGCCUCAAACCAACUGGGAGCUCAAAGAAGGGACAUACAACCAGGAGGUUCAAAUAAGGUUCAUCCAUCUUCCAUGAAGAUGGAUGACAACAUGAAGCUACAAUCUGGUCCAGUAGUUAGAGGGAAAGGAACCACGGACUAUGGUGGACGCGAUAGGUUUCAUGCCGAGGGUCCUGUUAGACCAUCUCCUGCAAGAAGUGUAGGAGGAUCAUCAUACUCAUCAGGGUUUGCAUCAUCAUCAAUUAAUUCUGGUCAAUCCCCUAAUAACAGGGCUCAAGGGGGAAAUGCAAGCAUUGGUGUUCCUUCACAUAAUCGGCCCACACCAUCAUUUCAGCAAACUUCUAGAGUUUCUACGCAACAGCAAAAUCAUACCUCAAUUAUGCACCAGAAGUCAGGCCAAGCACCUAGUCAAGCUGCAAUGAGAAUCCCAACUCAGCAGGUGAGCCAUCGGACGGGCAAUGCUUCACCAAGUGCUCAGCACCUACCUGCUGGAUCAACUGAAAGUGACGAGAAUGGUUCAUAUCCUAGUUCAAAUCAAUCCAAGACAUCUGAGGUGGAAAAAACCAACAAAGAAACUGGACGGGGCUCCUUCAUGUAUGGUGGAGCCCAGGUUAUUGGGGCUGCUGGUCUUGCCCAGGGCGAGCAAAAUUUUCCUGGCACCCCAGCUCUCCUGCCAGUGAUGCAAUUUGGCGGCCAGCAUCCAGGUGGGCUUGGAGUUCCUACUGUUGGUAUGGCCCUCCCUGGCUAUGUGGCUCAGCAGCAGCUGGGAAGGGGAAAUAACGAAAUGGCGUGGUUACCACUAUUGGCUGGUGCAGCUGGGGCUUUUGGAGGAUCAUAUCCACCUUACAUUACCCUUGAUCCAAGCUUUUACUCUAGGUCUUCAGGACAGACGUCGUCGUCAGUUCCAUCCAGGGAAGGUAAUGUUAACCAUGGGGCUAAAUCUCCUCCCCAAAACGAUAUUGUGACUGAAGAGCUUGAUCAGCGCCAGAACAAGCAUAGGAGAUACUCAGAGAUGAACUUCAGUCAGUGA